GAUUAACGCUAGCGGGAGGCAUAACACAUGCAAGUCGGACGGUAUUACGGUUUCGGCCGUAAGAGAGUGGCGGACGGGUGCGUAACGCGUAUGCAACCUACCUUAUGCAGGGGGAUAGCCCAUGGAAACGUGGAUUAAUACCCCAUGACAAUAUAUUAUCGCAUGGUAUUAUAUUUAAAGUUACGGCGGCAUAAGAUGGGCAUGCGUCUGAUUAGUUAGUUGGUAAGGUAACGGCUUACCAAGGCUACGAUCAGUAGGGGUCCUGAGAGGGUUUACCCCCACACUGGUACUGAGACACGGACCAGACUCCUACGGGAGGCAGCAGUGAGGAAUAUUGGUCAAUGGGCGAGAGCCUGAACCAGCCAUCCCGCGUGCAGGAAGACGGCCUUAUGGGUUGUAAACUGCUUUUCUUAGCCAAGAAAAGGGCCGACGUGUCGGUCACUGACGGUAGUUAAGGAAUAAGCAUCGGCUAACUCCGUG
rnacentral:rRNA from 1 species